ACCGAUGAUGGCGACUAUCAGGUCAAACUACGCAACCUGAUUCGCUUUCUGGAAGAUGGCGAUAAAGCCAAAAUCACCCUGCGUUUCCGUGGGCGUGAGAUGGCGCACCAGCAGAUCGGUAUGGAAGUGCUUAACCGCGUCCGUAAAGACCUGUGUGAAGAUAUGGAUCUGGCAGUGGUCGAAUCCUUCCCUACGAAGAUCGAAGGCCGCCAGAUGAUUAUGGUGCUCGCUCCUAAGAAGAAACAGUAAGGCUUACAAGUAAUGGAACCCGCGUGGCGCUUGCGCUGUGUGGGUUUUAUUCGCCCAACUGAUUCGUUGUUUAACAAUGCGAAGUGGAUUUAAUUAAAAUGCCAA
rnacentral:misc_RNA from 1 species